AUUGAACGCUGGCGGCAGGCUUAACACAUGCAAGUCGAACGAGUGGCGGACGGGUGAGUAAUGCUUGGGCAUCUAGCUUAUGGAGGGGGAUAACUACGGGAAACUGUAGCUAAUACCGCGUACAAUAGGAUGAGCCCAAGUGGGAUUAGGUAGUUGGUGAGGUAAAGGCUCACCAAGCCGACGAUCUCUAGCUGGGCUGCGAGGAUGACCACGCACACUGGGACUGAGACACGGCCCAGACUCCUACGGGAUGCAGCAGUGGGGAAUAUUGCGCAAUGGGGGAAACCUGACGCAGCCAUGCCGCGUGUAUGAAGAGGGCCGUCGGGUUGUAAAGUUCUUUCUGUAGCGAGGCGUUAACUACAGAAGAAGCACCGGCUAACUCCGUGCCAGCAGCCGCGGUAAUUC
rnacentral:rRNA from 1 species